rnacentral:rRNA from 1 species
GCAAGUCGAACGAUGGAAGCCCUUCGGGGUGGAUUAGUGGCGAACGGGUGAGUAACACGUGGGCAAUCUGCCCUUCACUCUGGGACAAGCCCUGGAAACGGGGUCUAAUACCGGAUACAACCACUGACCGCAUGGUCGGGUGGUGGAAAGCUCCGGCGGUGAAGGAUGAGCCCGCGGCCUAUCAGCUUGUUGGUGAGGUAAUGGCUCACCAAGGCGACGACGGGUAGCCGGCCUGAGAGGGCGACCGGCCACACUGGGACUGAGACACGGCCCAGACUCCUACGGGAGGCAGCAGUGGGGAAUAUUGCACAAUGGGCGAAAGCCUGAUGCAGCGACGCCGCGUGAGGGAUGACGGCCUUCGGGUUGUAAACCUCUUUCAGCAGGGAAGAAGCGAAAGUGACGGUACCUGCAAAAGAAGCGCCGGCUAACUACGUGCCAGCAGCCGCGGUAAUACGUAGGGCGCAAGCGUUGUCCGGAAUUAUUGGGCGUAAAGAGCUCGUAGGCGGCUUGUCACGUCGAUUGUGAAAGCCCGAGGCUUAACCUCGGGUCUGCAGUCGAUACGGGCUAGCUAGAGUGUGGUAGGAGAGAUCGGAAUUCCUGGUGUAGCGGUGAAAUGCGCAGAUAUCAGGAGGAACAC